AAAUUGAAGAGUUUGAUCAUGGCUCAGAUUGAACGCUGGCGGCAGGCCUAACACAUGCAAGUCGAACGGUAACAGGAAGCAGCUUGCUGCUUUGCUGACGAGUGGCGGACGGGUGAGUAAUGUCUGGGAAACUGCCUGAUGGAGGGGGAUAACUACUGGAAACGGUAGCUAAUACCGCAUAACGUCGCAAGACCAAAGAGGGGGACCUUAGGGCCUCUUGCCAUCGGAUGUGCCCAGAUGGGAUUAGCUAGUAGGUGGGGUAACGGCUCACCUAGGCGACGAUCCCUAGCUGGUCUGAGAGGAUGACCAGCCACACUGGAACUGAGACACGGUCCAGACUCCUACGGGAGGCAGCAGUGGGGAAUAUUGCACAAUGGGCGCAAGCCUGAUGCAGCCAUGCCGCGUGUAUGAAGAAGGCCUUCGGGUUGUAAAGUACUUUCAGCGGGGAGGAAGGGAGUAAAGUUAAUACCUUUGCUCAUUGACGUUACCCGCAGAAGAAGCACCGGCUAACUCCGUGCCAGCAGCCGCGGUAAUACGGAGGGUGCAAGCGUUAAUCGGAAUUACUGGGCGUAAAGCGCACGCAGGCGGUUUGUUAAGUCAGAUGUGAAAUCCCCGGGCUCAACCUGGGAACUGCAUCUGAUACUGGCAAGCUUGAGUCUCGUAGAGGGGGGUAGAAUUCCAGGUGUAGCGGUGAAAUGCGUAGAGAUCUGGAGGAAUACCGGUGGCGAAGGCGACGAAGACUGACGCUCAGGUGCGAAAGCGUGGGGAGCAAACAGGAUUAGAUACCCUGGUAGUCCACGCCGUAAACGAUGUCGACUUGGAGGUUGUGCCCUUGAGGCGUGGCUUCCGGAGCUAACGCGUUAAGUCGACCGCCUGGGGAGUACGGCCGCAAGGUUAAAACUCAAAUGAAUUGACGGGGGCCCGCACAAGCGGUGGAGCAUGUGGUUUAAUUCGAUGCAACGCGAAGAACCUUACCUGGUCUUGACAUCCACGGAAGUUUUCAGAGAUGAGAAUGUGCCUUCGGGAACCGUGAGACAGGUGCUGCAUGGCUGUCGUCAGCUCGUGUUGUGAAAUGUUGGGUUAAGUCCCGCAACGAGCGCAACCCUUAUCCUUUGUUGCCAGCGGUCCGGCCGGGAACUCAAAGGAGACUGCCAGUGAUAAACUGGAGGAAGGUGGGGAUGACGUCAAGUCAUCAUGGCCCUUACGACCAGGGCUACACACGUGCUACAAUGGCGCAUACAAAGAGAAGCGACCUCGCGAGAGCAAGCGGACCUCAUAAAGUGCGUCGUAGUCCGGAUUGGAGUCUGCAACUCGACUCCAUGAAGUCGGAAUCGCUAGUAAUCGUGGAUCAGAAUGCCACGGUGAAUACGUUCCCGGGCCUUGUACACACCGCCCGUCACACCAUGGGAGUGGGUUGCAAAAGAAGUAGGUAGCUUAACCUUCGGGAGGGCGCUUACCACUUUGUGAUUCAUGACUGGGGUGAAGUCGUAACAAGGUAACCGUAGGGGAACCUGCGGUUGGAUCACCUCCUUA
rnacentral:rRNA from 1 species